AUCAUCGGCACAGCCAGUAAGAACGAGAACUCGGAGGCGGCGUAACGGCUGACGCCCAUCAGCAUCCCACCGGAAAUGGUCGCUCCGGAACGCGAGAAGCCCGGCCACAGCGCCAGACA
rnacentral:sRNA from 1 species